AACGGCCGUACCAUGCUGAAUAUACCGGUUCUCGUUAGAUCACCGAAGUUAAGCAUCAUUGGGCGCGGUCAGUACUUGGUUGGGUGACCACCUGGGAACACUGCGUGCCGUU
rnacentral:rRNA from 1 species